rnacentral:rRNA from 1 species
UCGACGCUUCUUUUUCCACCGGAGCUUGCUCCCCGGAAAAAGAGGAGUGGCGAACGGGUGAGUAACACGUGGGUAACCUGCCCAUCAGAAGGGGAUAACACUUGGAAACAGGUGCUAAUACCGUAUAACAAUCAAAACCGUAUGGUUUUGAUUUGAAAGGCGCUUUCGGGUGUCGCUGAUGGAUGGACCCGCGGUGCAUUAGCUAGUUGGUGAGGUAACGGCUCACCAAGGCCACGAUGCAUAGCCGACCUGAGAGGGUGAUCGGCCACAUUGGGACUGAGACACGGCCCAAACUCCUACGGGAGGCAGCAGUAGGGAAUCUUCGGCAAUGGACGAAAGUCUGACCGAGCAACGCCGCGUGAGUGAAGAAGGUUUUCGGAUCGUAAAACUCUGUUGUUAGAGAAGAACAAGGAUGUGAGUAACUGUUCAUCCCUUGACGGUAUCUAACCAGAAAGCCACGGCUAACUACGUGCCAGCAGCCGCGGUAAUACGUAGGUGGCAAGCGUUGUCCGGAUUUAUUGGGCGUAAAGCGAGCGCAGGCGGUUUCUUAAGUCUGAUGUGAAAGCCCCCGGCUCAACCGGGGAGGGUCAUUGGAAACUGGGAGACUUGAGUGCAGAAGAGGAGAGUGGAAUUCCAUGUGUAGCGGUG